rnacentral:lncRNA from 1 species
CUGGGAUCGGCUGGCCUGUUCUAAGACAAUGUAGUGCUGCAGUGGGAGGAAGCUGACACAGACAGACACGCAGGGAGGUGCGGCAAGGAGGACAGCAGAGUGACCGAGGACCCGCCCUCCAAAAGUGUGCUAGAGCACGAGUCAUCUCCUAGGCCGUCCCCUCCAGUUUUAAACAGUAAAGGAGUUCUGAAAACAAAGAAGAAUCACUGUUCUAGAUAGAGUGCAGGGCUCCUACAGAAACACCAAGUCCAAGGGAGUCUGAGGAGUCUGCCCAGAGAUGAUCAGGCUGAAUGAGGCUACCUGCGGAGGACUCUUCAUGCUCCUCCUUACCGAACCUCUGCAACUCACACCAUGUGGAAGCACAUAGGACACAGCACCAAAGUCUAAAGCAGAAAGCAUGUAGAUCCCAGAGGUACAGCACAGGCUCCUAAGAAAGAACCCACGGUGGCUGAGUUUUCGGAUGUGCGCUUGUCAUCUGCCUACAGGAACUGGGGGGAAUCAGCCUCUAAGAAUCAUUUCAGGUGCAGGGAGUAAACUCAUACUGUGAACUACUUUGCCGUUAUGUACUGUUACCAUCUGUCUCAGGGGCAAAACCAUUCGCUGGGCCCAAUUCUCA